UCGGGAAUUUUGGGCAAUGGGCGAAAGCCUGACCCAGCAACGCCGCGUGAGGGAUGAAGGCCUUCGGGUCGUAAACCUCUGUCGGGAGGGAAGAACGUCCACGGGGCGAACAGUCCCGGGGGCUGACGGUACCUCCAAAGGAAGCGCCGGCUAACUCCGUGCCAGCAGCCGCGGUAAUACGGAGGGCGCAAGCGUUGUUCGGAAUCAUUGGGCGUAAAGCGCGUGUAGGCGGCUUGGUAAGUCGAGUGUGAAAGCCCGGGGCUCAACCCCGGAAGGUCGCUCGAAACUGCCUCGCUCGAGUCCCGGAGAGGAAGGCGGAAUUCCCGGUGUAGAGGUGAAAUUCGUAGAUAUCGGGAGGAACACCAGCGGCGAAGGCGGCCUUCUGGACGGUGACUGACGCUGAGACGCGAAAGCGUGGGGAGCAAACAGGAUUAGAUACCCUGGUAGUCCACGCCGUAAACGUUGGGUGCUAGGUGUCGCGGGUAUGACCCCUGCGGUGCCGCCGCUAACGCAUUAAG
rnacentral:rRNA from 1 species